GUGCUGGCUUGGACAGCACAUACGCUAAAAGUGGAAGGAGACAGAGAAGAUUAGCACGGCCCCUGCACAAGGGUGACCUGCAGGUCCAUGAAGCAGUCUGUACAUGU
ensembl:snRNA U6 U6 spliceosomal RNA